ensembl:lncRNA
AUGCCCUCUCCAGUAGACUGGAAAAGUUACUUUUUGGACUAUGAUUCUCAUGCCGAUAAAGACAUUCUGGGAGUGUUUUUCGCUCAAAUUAGCUGUACUGAAACUGCUGGCAUCAUCUCUGCCCUGUGGUGUAGGCCAGUGAAGUCCACCCGAGACCUCCGCCAUCCUCACCCCUUCGUGAUUCUUCUAUACACAGGCUUUCCACACAGAUCGUUUGAACACAGUCCAGUUGGACGGGGAGAUAAACGGAAUACAGUUGCCAUACAAACCAUACAAGCCGUUUCUAUGACAACCUCUUCUUUGGAAAAGAGACUUCUCAGGGCCCUAUGGCAACCAGGCUGGGAAGGAGGGUCAAGCACCUCCAGAGCUUGCCAGUGCUGCUGUUUCUGGACUAGCACCCAUCCCCAAGCUGUGCUGCCUUUGGAUGGCUCUAACCAGUUCAGAGUCGUGCAAAGAAACCUACAAAACGGAAUGACUCACCGCCGAUGGAGCUUUCAUUGCCGCCUGGGUCCCUGCGGCCCAACAUUGUCCAUUUUUAACACCCUGCACUUAAGUGGCUGCCUGCCUUCAGCUUAAUAACAACCCAGAAACAAAACCAGGAGGAUCAACGAACAAUUUGCAGUAACGAGACCCCAUGCGUCUGUGCUGCUAGAGUGGUGAGCUCAUAGGCAGGUAGUUCGUAAGUACAGUUAUUGCAUCUGUUCAAUAAUGGCACCCUUGAGCUUGGGUAAAAUUAAUGCCUCGGAAGCAGAAAACGUUGAUGCAAGGAACAACACACAGCCCAACGGCCGUUUAUAUUUGGCUAUUCUGGAUAUAUUAGCUCAGUGCGCACUCUGAUAACACCAAGGCAAAAGAACUAUGCGCAUUAAGCUGGAAAACAGCUUUCCUCCAUGGUUCUCCAUGGAGGGAUGCUUAUUUAGAGCCUGAUCCUAAGCAGGUUUGGAGUGGUUUUAGAAAACAGCCCUUUUCUUGAGCCCCUGGCCGUCAUCAGCAAAAGGGCACUCUGGAAUUUGCUGUUUUUCCUUCUCCCCGCACACCCAGCCCUGCAGCUGUUCUAAGGAAUGUUGAGCUUCCCUGCUUCCUUCAUCUGGGUCACGUUCCUGAGCCUGCCUUAAGAACCAGCUGCAUCCCAGCAAAACAGGGAAGGAAGGAGGCCAGAGGUGUCCCGAGGAUUUAUCGGCCAAGGAGAAAGCGGAAGGAAGGAAAUGAAUUGCGCUUCUUCUUCGUCCCCAAGGACCCUCAAAGGGAAGGGUCGAAAGCCGUUGAGUUGCUACAGCUCGGCGGUUCCAGGACCAUGUGGGGAAAAUGUACCAACAGGCCUGUGUGUGAUGGGACCUUUUGGGAAUCACUAAUUUCAUAGAGUCACCAUAAGUCAGAAGGGAGUUAACAGAUGGCAUGUAAGGUCAAAAAAGCUCACAUUUCCUAAACACCAUCCCACCAACCCUCCCUAGUUUCUCGCCCCUAUAUGCCGGACAGCCUGCUUCAAAAUUCAAGACGCAUCUACAGAAAAUUCUUGAGAGCCACAUAAGUAUUUUAUAUGAACAUGCAUUUGCCUCUCAGCAGCUCUGGUGUGCUUUUCCAUUCUAUAGCAAAGGUGGGCAAGCUCAGAGGAUUGGAGGGCAAAUUCUUUCCCCCUGUUCCCCCCCCAAAAAAAACCCUCUGUGUGAUUUUCUCAAAAUACUAUGAUUUUGUGAUUUUCAAAAACGAGAUGUUUCUAAAAACUGGAAAACUAGAGGAGAAUUAUUAUCCAUAGGGGCCUUCCAGGACAAAUAAUCAUUCUCCCUUUUUUGGGGGGUGGGUGGGUGUCAAAACCUUUCCAGAAAGAGCACCCAUUCUGUUUCCUUCCCUUUUUAUUUGGAUUUUUCACCCGGUCUGGAAUUGUCUGGUGCAAAAUUUAAUGUCAGACUAGACAACACAUAUAAUUCAUGAUUGCAUUUGACGCAUGUGGAUAUUUUUCUUGUUAAACAACAGCUUCAGAGUGGCUGACUGGUCUAGGAACCUGUGUAGGAAUUGUUUUCUUUAAACGAAUCCUUUUUCGUGUCCACCGUUCAGCAAAAAUCCUGAGCUGGUUUUGGUACAACCUUCCCCAUCUCCCGACAUAAGGAGCAGCCUUUUCUGGGGGCCAGAAUGCCUUUGGAUGGCAGCAUAGACGAUGGAACCCUCUUGGCCUACCCAUCAAUUUAAAGGUUUAUAACCAGGAUGGUUUAUGGUAAAAAAAAAAACCAUCAUAAUAAAAAAAAACAUAAUAAAAUGUAACA